rnacentral:rRNA from 1 species
GCUUGCUGGGUGGAUUAGUGGCGAACGGGUGAGUAACACGUGAGUAACCUGCCCUUAACUCUGGGAUAAGCCUGGGAAACUGGGUCUAAUACCGGAUAGGAGCGCCUACCGCAUGGUGGGUGUUGGAAAGAUUUAUCGGUUUUGGAUGGACUCGCGGCCUAUCAGCUUGUUGGUGAGGUAAUGGCUCACCAAGGCGACGACGGGUAGCCGGCCUGAGAGGGUGACCGGCCACACUGGGACUGAGACACGGCCCAGACUCCUACGGGAGGCAGCAGUGGGGAAUAUUGCACAAUGGGCGCAAGCCUGAUGCAGCGACGCCGCGUGAGGGAUGACGGCCUUCGGGUUGUAAACCUCUUUCAGUAGGGAAGAAGCGAAAGUGACGGUACCUGCAGAAGAAGCACCGGCUAACUACGUGCCAGCAGCCGCGGUAAUACGUAGGGUGCGAGCGUUAUCCGGAAUUAUUGGGCGUAAAGAGCUCGUAGGCGGUUUGUCGCGUCUGUCGUGAAAGUCCGGGGCUUAACCCCGGAUCUGCGGUGGGUACGGGCAGACUAGAGUGCAGUAGGGGAGACUGGAAUUCCUGGUGUAGCGGUGGAAUGCGCAGAUAUCAGGAGGAACACCGAUGGCGAAGGCAGGUCUCUGGGCUGUAACUGACGCUGAGGAGCGAAAGCAUGGGGAGCGAACAGGAUUAGAUACCCUGGUAGUCCAUGCCGUAAACGUUGGGCACUAGGUGUGGGGACCAUUCCACGGUUUCCGCGCCGCAGCUAACGCAUUAAGUGCCCCGCCUGGGGAGUACGGCCGCAAGGCUAAAACUCAAAGGAAUUGACGGGGGCC